rnacentral:rRNA from 1 species
GAUACCCCAGGUCAGGCGGGGCUACCCGCUGAGUUUAAGCAUAUCAAUAAGCGGAGGAA